UCGUUUCAGGAGAAAGUGGAUGGGGGAAAAUCAGUAUUUCAAGAAGAUUGCCAUGUAGGAAGCCACGGAAAGGAAGGCAAGAAGAGGAUAUGAGAACUUGAUAGAGCUUCCGUCAGACGAUGAUCCGUCUCCUUCUCCUACUGGAGAAUCAGCAUUAGAACCACCACCUGCAAAAAAAAAAUCUACUGACAGGAGGAGUCUGAACAUUACAAGCCCUUGGCAAAGCAAGAGCCUGUGUUUGAUUAAUGUUGAGCCCAAGCUGAGAGCCUCCACCGUUGAGGGCUUGACAUAAACAGUCAGGAGAAGACUGGACUACGUUACUCAACUGGCUGCAGCAUUGCUGAGAAGGAGUUGUAGUGUUUCCGGUUAUGUAGUUAAGACAUGGUGCCAUGCUGAUCAACGCGCUCGUGCAACUUGUCUGAGCAGAGACUCUUGAAGAAGACAUCACAGCCAUGAAAACUUUGCGUUGUGUUUGUUUGAUUGGGUUUGGUCGAGUCUUGAUGAAGGAUAUAAAUAGGGAAUUGAAGGAGUUGAAACGUGAAAAUAACGAGGUCAGUGGUCUUUGGUGACGGUCUUAGGCUGGGCUGUUAAACUACCUCCAUGAUUAUUUGAUUUCAGGUGUCGAAAAGUCUCAGUUUAGGACAUCAUCUUUUACAAGUCUUUACACGUUCUAGACUUCUAGUCUCUAGAUUAACAUAUGUUUCAAAGUCGUGAACUAUUUUAGUCUUAUGGUUGCCGUGUUUUCUAAUUAAAGGAAAGUUCCAUGGUCGACGGUAUAGAAUAUAAUACUAAGAAGACCAGAAUAAAAUUAACUGAAAUAAGAAAAAAAUAGUAUGCAUGAAUGAAUGACAAGUGUUGCUCAAAAAAAAAAAAAAAGAAUGAAUGACAAGCGUGGCAUAUUGAGAUUUUGUUUUUACACUUUUUGAGCGAUUCUUCGUAUCCUAUUUCCUAUUACUCGUAUCAAUAUAACAUGACUCCUCACUUGUUUAUC